GGGGAGUCUAGGACGAUCCUAAUCUUGGGU
rnacentral:piRNA from 1 species